GACGAACGCUGGCGGCAGGCUUAACACAUGCAAGUCGAGCGCCCCGCAAGGGGAGCGGCAGACGGGUGAGUAACGCGUGGGAAUCUACCCAUCCCUACGGAACAACUCCGGGAAACUGGAGCUAAUACCGUAUACGUCCUCCGGGAGAAAGAUUUAUCGGGGAUGGAUGAGCCCGCGUUGGAUUAGCUAGUUGGUGGGGUAAAGGCCUACCAAGGCGACGAUCCAUAGCUGGUCUGAGAGGAUGAUCAGCCACACUGGGACUGAGACACGGCCCAGACUCCUACGGGAGGCAGCAGUGGGGAAUAUUGGACACUGGGCGCAAGCCUGAUCCAGCCAUGCCGCGUGAGUGAUGAAGGCCCUAGGGUUGUAAAGCUCUUUCACCGGAGAAGAUAAUGACGGUAUCCGGAGAAGAAGCCCCGGCUAACUUCGUGCCAGCCGCCGCCGUAACAC
rnacentral:rRNA from 1 species